UUUUGGGUAAUCGCUAUAGCAAUAUAGAGGAAAGUCCAUGCUCACACAGUCUGAGAUGACUGUAGUGUUCGUGCUUGACGAAACAAUAAGUCAAGGCAUAUCAAUGACGGCAACGAAAUAACCUAAGUUUAAUUAAUAUGGUUAAAAUAGUUUGAAAGUGCCACAGUGACGUAGCUUUUGCGGAAACGUAAAAGGUGGAACGCGGUAAACCCCUCGAGUGAGCAAUCCAAAUUAGGUAGGAGCACUUGUUUAGCGGAAUUCAACGUAUAAACAAGACGUUAUUUUAACGUAACGAAAUAGCGUAGACAGAUGAUUACCACCAGCGUACGAGUGUAGCUAGGACACGUUCGCAGUACAAUGGAACAGAACAUGGCUUACAU
rnacentral:RNase_P_RNA from 1 species